rnacentral:rRNA from 1 species
CCUACGGGAGGCAGCAGUGAGGAAUAUUGGUCAAUGGGCGCGAGCCUGAUCCAGCCAAGUAGCGUGAAUGAUGACUGCCCUACGGGUUGUAAACUUCUUUUAUAAAGGAAUAAAGUGAGUCACUUGUGCCUUUUUGUAUUUACUUUAUGAAUAAGGAUCGGCUAACUCAGUGCCAGCAGCCGCGGUAAUACGGAGGAUCCGAGCGUUAUCCGGAUUUAUUGGGCUUAAAGGGAGCGUAGAUGGGUUGUUAAGUCAGUUGUGAAAGUUUGCGGCUCAACCGUAAAAUUGCAAUUGAUACUGGCAGUCUUGAGUACAGUUGAGGGAGGCGGAAUGCGUGGUGUAGCGGUGAAAUGCUUAGAUAUCACGAAGAACUCCGAUGGCGAAGGCAGCUUACUAAACUGCCACUGACAUUGAUGCUCGAAAGUGUGGGUAUCAAACAGGAUUAGAUACCCUUGUAGUC